GCGGAUGUGGCGGAACUGGCAGACGCGCUAGAUUAAGGAUCUAGUGGAAGAGAUUUCGUGCAGGUUCGAUUCCUGUCAUCCGCA
rnacentral:tRNA from 1 species